GAAGUAUUGGAUACAAUCUUUUGUUUGUAUGUAUUUAAAUAUUGUUUCAGGAGUUUGAUUUUUUUUUGAAAAGCAUUCAACAAUGCAAUGAAAAAAACCAAAGUUUACAUCUGAUAGUGAAAUUUGUAUGUGAAUGAAGUAUAAAACUAUGUGUGAUAGUGUCUGUAAAUCAAGGAGAUCAAACAAUGUGUGAUACAGGGCGUGAUAGUAUCUGUAAAUCAAGGAGAUCAAACAAUGUGUGAUACAGGGCGUGAUAGUAUCUGUAAAUCAACAAACUAUCUCAAUCUGUUGUCUGUUGUCAAUUAGUCUGUUGUCUUCUUUUCAAAAAAUGCUGUGAUUUGGGUGAUAGAGGGCGUGGCUAUAAUAUCUGACUAUGGUAUAAACAAAACUGUUUAAUGGAAAACCAUCAACUUGUCUUAAAAAUUCCAACCAUUAUUAUGAUAAUCCAGCAAAAGAUGUUUGAAAUGUUACAAUAUGAAAUUCAUUGUCCAACAACUUCUUAGCCAAAAAUGUUAGAUGUUUGUUCUGUAAGAUGUGCAAGAAUUACAAAUCGGACACUUUCUAUGUGCAAGAAUUACAAAUCGGACACUUUCUAUGUGCAAGAAUGACAAAUCGGACACUUUCUAUGUGCAAGAAUGACAAAUCGGACACUUUCUAUGUGCAAGAAUGACAAAUCGGACACGUUCUAUGUGCAAGAAUUACAAAUC
rnacentral:lncRNA from 1 species